CCACCUGGUGGGGUCUGGGGGGGUAGGAUGUACGCAGUCCAUACCUCUACCUCUGAAGAAGUAGAAAGGUUGUUUCCGAUAGACCCCCAGCUCGAGACACGCGGUACCACACAAACAUAUAGUAAAGCACAGCACAAGGUUACAAGAUUACAUAACAUAAAUACGGCACCCAUAAGUAAUAUAAAACAGAGGAAAGCACACAGCUUCAUAAUAAAACAUGGGACACGAACUCCUAACAGGAAUAAACCCCCACCAAGUAGUUCCCUAUACUAGCGACUCAGACUGGACCU
rnacentral:lncRNA from 1 species